rnacentral:rRNA from 1 species
ACCCUUUAAUGUUUGAUGUUCUAACGUGGACCCGUGAUCCGGGUUGCGGACAGUGUCUGGUGGGUAGUUUGACUGGGGCGGUCUCCUCCUAAAGAGUAACGGAGGAGCACGAAGGUUGGCUAAUCCUGGUCGGACAUCAGGAGGUUAGUGCAAUGGCAUAAGCCAGCUUGACUGCGAGCGUGACGGCGCGAGCAGGUGCGAAAGCAGGUCAUAGUGAUCCGGUGGUUCUGAAUGGAAGGGCCAUCGCUCAACGGAUAAAAGGUACUCCGGGGAUAACAGGCUGAUACCGCCCAAGAGUUCAUAUCGACGGCGGUGUUUGGCACCUCGAUGUCGGCUCAUCACAUCCUGGGGCUGAAGUAGGUCCCAAGGGUAUGGCUGUUCGCCAUUUAAAGUGGUACGCGAGCUGGGUUUAGAACGUCGUGAGACAGUUCGGUCCCUAUCUGCCGUGGGCGCUGGAGAACUGAGGGGGGCUGCUCCUAGUACGAGAGGACCGGAGUGGACGCAUCACUGGUGUUCGGGUUGUCAUGCCAAUGGCACUGCCCGGUAGCUAAAUGCGGAAGAGAUAAGUGCUGAAAGCAUCUAAGCACGAAACUUGCCCCGAGAUGAGUUCUCCCUGAGACUUAGAGUCUCCUGAAGGAACGUUGAAGACGACGACGUUGAUAGGCCGGGUGUGUAAGCGCAGCGAUGCGUUGAGCUAACCGGUACUAAUGAACCGUGAGGCUUAACCUUACAAC